rnacentral:ncRNA from 1 species
AGUUUGGUGCCUGAUGAAAAGGGUUACCUCGAUACGGUAAAUUAUGCAAUUAGUUGCUCAAACUAUACUUUAAUUUAUAUAUUGGAAAUUAUAGGGUUUAUUAGAAGAAGAUUUGAUUUUUUACAUGUAAAAAGUUUGAAUCUGGCUAAUGUUCUGCUGUUAAUUAAAUCUAUAUAUGAAUAUGAAAAAUUUAAGAUUUUUGUAAGGUAGUAGAUAAUUUUAGUUACCAAAAGUAUUGGAUCUAGUUAAAUUUUUAAAGUUGACCAAAGUCGUGCCAGCCGUCGCGGUUAAACGAAGAGCUUGAGUGGAAUUAACUGUUAAAGCUAGCUAACAGCAAAUAAUUUAAAAAAACUAAAUUUUCUUUAGUAGGUGGAAUUAAUUCAAGAAAGUAUAUUAUUUUUUAAUUUAUUUAAAGGAACUAGUAAGUCUAGAAGAAAAACCAGGAUUAGAUACCCUGCUAUUCUAGAUGAUGGUAACAAGGGUAGUAAAAGUUAUUCUUCAAACCCAAAGAUUUUGGCGGCAUCUUAGCCAAAUAGAGGAACUUGUCCCUUAAUCGAUAAUCCUCGUUAUAUCUUACCUUUUCUUGCUAAGCUUGUAUACCUCCGUUGUCAGAUUACUCCUAGAAGGAUGUUUUCAAUAAAUAUAAUUUUUUGACUUCAGGUCAAGGUGCAGCCUAUGGAAAGGUGGUGAUGAGUUACAAUUUAAAUGAAAAAUUACGGAUAUUAUUUGUAAAUAUAAUAAUGGAAGGUGGAUUUAUUAGUAAAUUAUUUUAAGCAUAAAUGAUUGAAAUUGGCAAUAAGAUGUGCACAUAUCGCCCGUCACUCUCCUCUCAAGAGGAGAUAAGUCGUAACAAAGUAGAUGUACUGGAAAGUGUAUCUAGAAAGAA